AGUGGUUGCGAUCACUAUAAAUAGGGCUUUAAGUCGCAAGCGUCCUACCCUUUAGCGGGUAGGGGUAGUC
rnacentral:ribozyme from 1 species